AGAGGUGGAAGAUGAGGCACAGGAUGUUCUGUGUGAACCUGAGGAACAGUUUUUCCCCUGUGAGGGUGACAGAACACUGGAAGAGGCUGCCCAGAGUGGGUUGUGGAGUCUCCCUCUCUGGAGAUAUUCAAGAACCAUCUGGAUGCAUUCCAGUGUGAUCUGCUCUGAGUGAUCCUGCUCUGGCAGGGGGUCUGGACCAGUCAUGAGUUGCUUAAACCAAGACUGAGGAAUAUACUGAACUGCCAGAAGAGGGAAGUCCAGGAUCAGAAGUUUGUUCCUUAGAGCAAAUGUGAAACAGGACAUCAGGAAUACAGAAACCCUAUGAAACAACAGCUUUUUAAAGCAGUUUGCUGAAGCAGGACCAUGGCAGCAUUCAGGACAAGGUAUCCCUUCUCCUUCAACAGGAUCCAAGAACCAAACUGUGCACAUGCAAUAACACAAAGAGAAACCACUCACUGACACACUUCUAUAUAUUUGAAGUGUAACUUGAAAAGCAACAAGGCAAAAAUUCUACCCUUUCCAAAGCUUCCUAAACCCAUAAAUAUUGCUUUUACUGUUUAGUCUCUCAAUAGGUCACUUCUUUGCCUUUUAGAUGCCUAAUCCUUGAAAAAUCAGUCUUUUCUAAAUCAAAUGAGUAAGUUUGCCUGGGGGAGUAAGCUGUGCAGUGUCAGCUGGCCAGCAAUAAAUGUUCCUGUACCUGUGGAUGUGUUUGGAAAGCUCAUGCCUCUUCUACCCAGUGCUGCUCCAAUAGGAAACAAUCCUCUUCCUGCUCUCAGCUAAGAGUGCCAAUGAACAGCUGCCAGAGCAGCUGUGCCAAGCCCAGGCAGGUCCCUGGCACUGUGGGGGGCCUUAUUCACCUAGCU